GCCUUCGUAGCUCAAUGGAUAGAGCGCUGGUCUUCGGAACCAGUAGUGAGAGUUCGACUCUCUCCGAAGGCGCCC
rnacentral:tRNA from 1 species